rnacentral:rRNA from 1 species
UUAGAGUUGAUCCUGGCUCAGGACGAACGCUGGCGGCGUGCCUAAUACAUGCAAGUCGAGCGGAUCUCGAGGGGCUUGCCCCUUGAGAUUAGCGGCGGACGGGUGAGUAACACGUGGGCAACCUGCCUGUAAGACUGGGAUAACACCGGGAAACCGGUGCUAAUACCGGAUAAUUCUUUUCCUCCCAUGAGGGAAAGCUGAAAGUCGGCUUCGGCUGACACUUACAGAUGGGCCCGCGGCGCAUUAGCUAGUUGGUGAGGUAACGGCUCACCAAGGCGACGAUGCGUAGCCGACCUGAGAGGGUGAUCGGCCACACUGGGACUGAGACACGGCCCAGACUCCUACGGGAGGCAGCAGUAGGGAAUCUUCAGCAAUGGACGAAAGUCUGACGGAGCAACGCCGCGUGAGUGAUGAAGGCCUUCGGGUCGUAAAACUCUGUUGUUAGGGAAGAACAAGUACCGGAGUAACUGCCGGUACCUUGACGGUACCUAACCAGAAAGCCACGGCUAACUACGUGCCAGCAGCCGCGGUAAUACGUAGGUGGCAAGCGUUGUCCGGAAUUAUUGGGCGUAAAGCGCGCGCAGGCGGUCCUUUAAGUCUGAUGUGAAAGCCCACGGCUCAACCGUGGAGGGUCAUUGGAAACUGGGGGACUUGAGUGCAGAAGAGGAAAGCGGAAUUCCACGUGUAGCGGUGAAAUGCGUAGAGAUGUGGAGGAACACCAGUGGCGAAGGCGGCUUUCUGGUCU